GCCCGCCUAGCUCAAUCGGAUAGAGCGUCAGACUCUUAUAAAGUCUAUAAUAUGAGGCACGUUUGAAUCUGAAGGCUGCGAGUUCGACCCUCGCGGUGGGCU